rnacentral:rRNA from 1 species
GACGUAGGGCGCAAGCGUUGUCCGGAAUUAUUGGGCGUAAAGAGCUCGUAGGUGGUUUGUUACGUCUGCUGUGAAAUCCUAGGGCUUAACCCUGGGCUUGCAGUGGAUACGGGCAGACUAGAGGUAGGUAGGGGAGAAUGGAAUUCCUGGUGUAGCGGUGAAAUGCGCAGAUAUCAGGAGAACACCGUGGCGAAGGCGGUCUCUGUACGGAACGC